AGUGAACGCUGGCGGUAGGCCUAACACAUGCAAGUCGAACGGCAGCACAGUAAGAGCUUGCUCUUACGGGUGGCGAGUGGCGGACGGGUGAGGAAUACAUCGGAAUCUACUUUUUCGUGGGGGAUAACGUAGGGAAACUUACGCUAAUACCGCAUACGACCUACGGGUGAAAGCAGGGGAUCUUCGGACCUUGCGCGAUUGAAUGAGCCGAUGUCGGAUUAGCUAGUUGGCGGGGUAAAGGCCCACCAAGGCGACGAUCCGUAGCUGGUCUGAGCGGAUGAUCAGCCACACUGGAACUGAGACGCGGUCCAGACUCCUACGGGAGGCAGCAGUGGGGAAUAUUGGACAAUGGGCGCAAGCCUGAUCCAGCCAUACCGCGUGGGUGAAGAAGGCCUUCGGGUUGUAAAGCCCUUUUGUUGGGAAAGAAAAGCAGCAGGUUAAUACCCCGCUGUUCUGACGGUACCCAAAGAAUAAGCACCGGCUAACUUCGU
rnacentral:rRNA from 1 species